UACGUAGGGUGCGAGCGUUGUCCGGAAUUACUGGGCGUAAAGAGCUCGUAGGUGGUUUGUCGCGUUGUUCGUGAAAACUCACAACUCGAUUGUGGGCGUGCGGGCGAUACGGGCAGACUGGAGUACUGCAGGGGAGACUGGAAUUCCUGGUGUAGCGGUGGAAUGCGCAGAUAUCAGGAGGAACACCGGUGGCGAAGGCGGGUCUCUGGGCAGUAACUGACGCUGAGGAGCGAAAGCGUGGGGAGCGAACAGG
rnacentral:rRNA from 1 species